UUUUUCCUACGGGACGCAGCAGUGGGGAAUAUUGCGCAAUGGGCGAAAGCCUGACGCAGCGACGCCGCGUGAGGGAUGAAGGUCUUCGGAUCGUAAACCUCUGUCAGCAGGGAAGAACGGUCACUGUGCUAAUCAGCAGCGGAUUGACGGUACCUGCAAAGCAAGCACCGGCUAACUCCGCGCCAGCAGCCGCGUUAAUACGGAGGGUGCGAGCGUUAAUCGGAAUUACUGGGCGUAAAGCGCUCGUAGGCGGUAUGUCCAGUCAAGGGUGAAAUCCCCGCGCUCACCGUGG
rnacentral:rRNA from 1 species